rnacentral:lncRNA from 1 species
GUUGGUAGGCGGGGUCAUUAGACACUUUUUUAAAAUAGAUAACCUAGUAAUGAUUGUGGCCAAGUUUGGUUAAAUUUGGCCCAUAGUUUUAGAAAAGAAGAUUUUUGUACAAAUUACAAAAAUGACAAAAAGUUGUUCAAUAUUGACUAUAAAGGACAAUAACUCCUUAAGGGGUUCUCUGAUAAUUUUGGUCAUGUUGACUUAUUUGUAGAUCUUUCUUUGCUGAAC